UCGGGAAUAUUGCGCAAUGGAGGAAACUCUGACGCAGUGACGCCGCGUGCAGGAAGAAGGUUUUCGGAUUGUAAACUGCUUUAGACAGGGAAGAAAUAAGACAGUACCUGUAGAAUAAGCUCCGGCUAACUACGUGCC
rnacentral:rRNA from 1 species